rnacentral:rRNA from 1 species
UAGCUACAGGCUUAACACAUGCAAGUCGAGGGUCAUCAGGAAGAAAGCUUGCUUUCUUUGCUGGCGACCGGCGCACGGGUGAGUAACACGUAUCCAACCUGCCCUUUACUCGGGGAUAGCCUUUCGAAAGAAAGAUUAAUACCCGAUGGCAUAAUGAUUCCGCAUGGUUUCAUUAUUAAAGGAUUCCGGUAAAGGAUGGGGAUGCGUUCCAUUAGGUUGUUGGUGAGGUAACGGCUCACCAAGCCUUCGAUGGAUAGGGGUUCUGAGAGGAAGGUCCCCCACAUUGGAACUGAGACACGGUCCAAACUCCUACGGGAGGCAGCAGUGAGGAAUAUUGGUCAAUGGGCGCUAGCCUGAACCAGCCAAGUAGCGUGAAGGAUGAAGGCUCUAUGGGUCGUAAACUUCUUUUAUAUAAGAAUAAAGUGCAGUAUGUAUACUGUUUUGUAUGUAUUAUAUGAAUAAGGAUCGGCUAACUCCGUGCCAGCAGCCGCGGUAAUACGGAGGAUCCGAGCGUUAUCCGGAUUUAUUGGGUUUAAAGGGAGCGUAGGUGGACUGGUAAGUCAGUUGUGAAAGUUUGCGGCUCAACCGUAAAAUUGCAGUUGAUACUGUCAGUCUUGAGUACAGUAGAGGUGGGCGGAAUUCGUGGUGUAGCGGUGAAAUGCUUAGAUAUCACGAAGAACUCCGAUUGCGAAGGCAGCUCACUGGACUGCAACUGACACUGAUGCUCGAAAGUGUGGGUAUCAAACAGGAUUAGAUACCCUGGUAGUCCACACAGUAAACGAUGAAUACUCGCUGUUUGCGAUAUACAGUAAGCGGCCAAGCGAAAGCAUUAAGUAUUCCACCUGGGGAGUACGCCGGCAACGGUGAAACUCAAAGGAAUUGACGGGGGCCCGCACAAGCGGAGGAACAUGUGGUUUAAUUCGAUGAUACGCGAGGAACCUUACCCGGGCUUAAAUUGCAGUGGAAUGAUGUGGAAACAUGUCAGUGAGCAAUCACCGCUGUGAAGGUGCUGCAUGGUUGUCGUCAGCUCGUGCCGUGAGGUGUCGGCUUAAGUGCCAUAACGAGCGCAACCCUUAUCUUUAGUUACUAACAGGUCAUGCUGAGGACUCUAGAGAGACUGCCGUCGUAAGAUGUGAGGAAGGUGGGGAUGACGUCAAAUCAGCACGGCCCUUACGUCCGGGGCUACACACGUGUUACAAUGGGGGGUACAGAAGGCAGCUAGCGGGUGACCGUAUGCUAAUCCCAAAAUCCUCUCUCAGUUCGGAUCGAAGUCUGCAACCCGACUUCGUGAAGCUGGAUUCGCUAGUAAUCGCGCAUCAGCCACGGCGCGGUGAAUACGUUCCCGGGCCUUGUACACACCGCCCGUCAAGCCAUGGGAGCCGGGGGUACCUGAAGUACGUAACCGCAAGGAUCGUCCUAGGGUAAAACUGGUAA